rnacentral:rRNA from 1 species
UACGUAGGGGGCAAGCGUUGUCCGGAAUCAUUGGGCGUAAAGCGCGUGUAGGCGGCCCGGUAAGUCCGCUGUGAAAGUCCAGGGCUCAACCCUGGAAUGCCGGUGGAUACUGUCGGGCUCGAGUCCGGAAGAGGCGAGUGGAAUUCCUAGUGUAGCGGUGAAAUGCGCAGAUAUCAGGAGGAACACCAAUGGCGAAGGCAGCUCGCUGGGACGGUACUGACGCUGAGACGCGAAAGCGUGGGGAGCAAACAGG